GUGUACUUAUCAGUAAUGCCAAGAUUUUGUGGCAUCAUCUGGCCAUGUCAUUAGAAAACGGCUGAAACCCUAUUCUUUCUAUUUUUUCUUCUUCUAGCAAAAUUCAACGUAAGGAGCUACACUAGGCACUAUGGAUAUCGCCAUCCUAUGCGUUAAUUCUGAAUUGCAUAAGGUCUGGAGUAUCUUCCUAUAGAUCUCUUCAAAUAAGAAAAAUCCCUUUAGAAGCUUCCACUGGGAAGAAGCCCAUUUCUCAAAGACAAAGGAUGGAAAUAACCAGCAAGUAGAUCUCCCAGAAGACCUGUGUCUUCCAAAAGAGCAAGUAGAUAAAUUCUGAAGUUUAAGAAAGGAGGAGAAAGGAUAAUAGGUUAGGAAUGGGGACAUUUUAUCUUGAAAUAUAUAAUCUUGG
rnacentral:lncRNA from 1 species